UUGAUCACUUCAAAGACAGAUCCAUAUACACCACAAAUACACACCCACAUACAUCAACACAAAUAAUGUUUGGUAGGACUAUUUGACAGCAGCUUAUCAAGUUCCUCCAACAUUUAAGAUUAUUAAAUCCCAUAGUUGAUUGAUUGCAAAAUACAUAAUUCUGAGUAAAAAAUGAAUCAAUACCAAAGAAGUACUCAAUAUAAUUCCAUAAAAAGAUGAACAAACUGCAAUUAACUAUUGCAGAUGGAUUUUAUGUUUACAAAAUGGAUGCGGCAGUCUAGUGUUAAAAGAGUUUGCUCUUCAGCCUGUGAAUAUUAUUUUUUGUCUUAGCGCCAACUAAAAACGUGACACUAGGUAACUUGUGGUGGUGAAAACAAACAAAGAAUACAAACAGACAAUGACACGUUCCAAACUGCACAUAUAACACAUCCUAGAAAUGGAUUCCAGCAUUCACCGUCUGAGUCUAUGACUUUUAAAAAAGAAAACAUAGGAAAGGGUAUUCCCUGAUUAAAUAAUUACACUUAGAAUUAAAAGUACAGUAUUAUGAUUCUGCUUGCUUUGCAUUAAAUAUUGCAGAGAAACACAUACAGUGUGUGUGUGUGUGUGUGUGUGUGUGUUAUUCAAUCCGAUCCAGUUUGUUAUUUCAUGACCUCUUUGUGAUUUGACCCGAGCAUCGAAAGACCAAACUCACUACAACUGUAAGGCCACUCCCUGUUUAGUGUUAUCAGCUGUCAGUUAUGGAUGGUUUUUGAUCAAACACACUCACACAGCAUGUAAUAUUUAACUUCACCUCAAACACUCAUGUGUUUGGACAACCCACAUGGACUUUGCGUUUCCAUUCCAUUUAAGUCGGACUGUACACACAAAGCCAACAAUAGACAAAAAACACACUCACUUUAAAGCACUUGUACUUUGAAACUGACUUGUUGAUCCAAUCAACUACACUUGAAGAGUACUUGCAGAUUUAGACCGAGAUCAGAAUGUCUAUAAAUUAAAAGGCUAUAAAGGAGACAACACACAUUCACAUGUACACACGCAGAAACACAAAAACACUCAAAAACACUUGAAUGUUUCUGGUUUCUGGUCGGUGAACCUAGGAUAUGCUCUAUCAGGUCCAGGGGCCAGCCAUCUUGGACCUGACAUCAAACACUGUUCCAGAAAGGAUGAUGAUUAAAGGGCUGAUUAUGGUCCCAUGUUCACGCAACGCAAGGGGGGUUAAGGGGGACCCCUUACGUCCUUCAAAACCCUCAUUGAGUCCACCGCAAGGGCCAGACAUGCGCCUCCAAUGUAUCUUUCCGUCGAGGCAAGGGCUGUGAUUGGUCUGCUUUCUAAACCCCGACGCAGAACCAUAAUUGUUCACAACUGCAUCGAAGCGUCUGCGUGGUCAUUGUGUUGCGUGAACGUGGAACCAUAAUCAGCCCGUAAGUAUGGACAGACUACAGGUCUACAUUGCCUUGUAGUAUGUGUCUGCUUUGUACAAUUCUAAAAGAAUGGUUGAAAAUCUACAAAACAGCAAAACAGAAAAAAGCUUGGUUUCUCACUCUAAAAGAGAGCAUCCAAUUAUGUUUUUGGAUGAUAAACAACAGACUUUUGGUUGAUAAAAGUAUAUAUAAUUACAUAACAAAAGAUUGUCCGAGCUUCAGUUUCUUGUUGCAUGGAUUUGGUAUGCACAUAAAACAUAUAUUAAGUAUUUAGCCAAACUGAUUGAAUUAAAUAACUGGGCAAAGUACUGUCAAAUAAAAGCUAAGAUCAAAGCUGAUUAAAGCUACUCUGCAUACAUUGAGAUAAUCAAGCAGAAAACUGCCCCCUGAGGAAUCAUUUUCCCUCUCCUUCUGUCCUAUGCCCAUAGACAUUUUAACUUCAGACCUGACCUUAUAACUUAAGAGUUGACCAUUUUAACUGUAUAUUCGACUGAUUGAACUUAACAACUAAACUUCAUUCAAAAGGCAAACCUAUUCAGUAACAUUUACAAUUGUAAAGAGAAUGUAACAAGGAAAUACAUUUAAAUCAAGCUUAACCCGAAUGAAAGAACAACUUCCAUUUAGUAUGACUAGCGUGAAAGUGAGAGGAGGUAAAGGCUCUAGUAGCAGAAGUGUACUGCUAAUUAAUCUCAUGUAGCAAUGAGUUCACAGAGACAACUCUUCACCCUAACGCUUAGAGGGAGACGGGCUGUGUGCCUAGCUUUUGCAGCAGUACGAGUACAAUAAAAGGCAUAUCAGUAACAUUGUCACCCAGAGCAAACAGUAUUGAGUAAACAAACUUGAGCUUGAUUGAACCAUGAUGGCGACAGAUUACCAGACCUCAGUAACAAGGGCCUCACCCCAGAUCUAGUCCUAGACACAGAAUCUGAAGAUACCCUGACAGUUACAAUACAUUAAUGAAACAUAUUUUGACCAAAAUUGAAUUGCAGUUACUUCAGAUACAGCACUAGGUUGCACCAGCUAUGCAUUAGUUUGUUACAAAUUAGCAGCUUAAAAUGUAGUUUUUGCACCAAUUGCCACUACCAACUGCACCAACUGCCACAAUUUACACUGAUAUUUAAUAACUACUAACAACUUGUUUGUGAGGUGCAACCGAUUUUGAUUACCAUUGUGUAAACCCAGACAAAUCCGGCCGAAACCGGUUAAGAAGUAGCUAGGGAUUAGGGCACCUUGACCAUGGAAGCCAUACCCAUUUGACUGGGGAAAAAUAACCCCUAAUCCUCUUGACUGUACCCCUCUGUAAUCAUGUAAAGCUUGGACUGACUGCAAGGGAUUAUGGGACAAAGCCAGAAAGGCCAGGUACAGAAUGAUGCUACAUAGAUGCCUUCCACCAAAUUGCAUAAAAGAUGUAUUGGAGAGAAUUCCUCCAUUAAAGCUAUAUAGUCUAGCAGCAUUCCCGUAAACGCAGAAGGAAAGAAACAUUUGUAAGUCCCAAGCCGUGCAAGAACGUUAGUAGAUAGA
ensembl:lncRNA